rnacentral:rRNA from 1 species
UGGGGAAUAUUGCGCAAUGGGGGAAACCCUGACGCAGCGACGUCGUGUGAGGGAAGAAGGCCUUCGGGUCGUAAACCUCUGUCAGAAGGGAAGAACAUCCGGGAGUCGAACAGCCUCCCGGCCUGACGGUACCUUCAGAGGAAGCGCCGGCUAACUCCGUGCCAGCAGCCGCGGUAAUACGGAGGGCGCAAGCGUUAAUCGGAAUCACUGGGCGUAAAGCGUGCGUAGGCUGUUUGAUAAGUCAGACGUGAAAUCCCUCGGCUCAACCGGGGAACUGCGUUUGAUACUGUUGAACUAGAGUCCUGGAGAGGGUGGCGGAAUUCCUGGUGUAGGAGUGAAAUCCGUAGAUAUCAGGAGGAACACCGGUGGCGAAGGCGGCCACCUGGACAGGUACUGACGCUGAGGUACGAAAGCGUGGGGAGCAAACA